UGUCGUUUAAAGAAUUAAGUAUGAGUAGAGCUAGGCUUGUAUUUGAUCCUGGCUCAGGACGAAACCAGGCGAUGUGAUUAACACAAGCAAGUCUAACGAUGAACCACCUUUCGGGUUGGGAUUAGUAGCGACCGGGUGAGUACCUCGUAGGUAGUCUGCCCUGCAGUAUGGGGCAAGCCCUGGAAACGGGGUCUUAUACCGGAUGCUGAAGCAUCUGGGCAUCUUGGUGGUUCGUAAGCUCCGGCGUUGCAGGAUGUGCCUGCGGCCUAUCAGCUUGUUCGUGAGGUAGCGGCUCACCAAGUCGGAGACGGGUAGCCGUCCCGAGAGGGCGGCCGCCCACACUGGGAUUGUGACACGGCCCAGACUCGUACGGGAGGCACCAGUGGGGAAUAUUUCACACUGGGCGAAAGCCUGAUGCAAGGACGUCGCGUGAGGGAUGACGGCCUUCGGGUUGUAAACCUCUUUCAGCAGGGAAGAAGCGAGAGUGACGGUACCUUCACAAGAAGCGCCGGCUAAAUACGUGCCAGCAGCCGCGGUAAUAUGUAGGGCGCGAGCGUUGUCCUGAAUUAUUGGGCGUAAAGAGCUCGUAGGCGGCUUGUAGCAUCGGUUGUGAAAGAAUCGCCGGUUAACCCCGGGUCUGCAGUCGAUACGGGCAGGCUAGAGUUCGGUAGGGGAGAUCGGAAUUCCUGGUGUAGCGGUGAAAAGCGCAGAUAUCAGGGGGGACACCGCUGGGGAAGGGGGAUCUUUGGGCCGAUACUGACGCUGAGGAGGGAAAGAGUCGGGAGAGCACAGGAUUAGAUACCCUGGUGGUAGCCCACCGUAAACGAUGGGCGCUAGAGUGGGCGAGCAUUCCCAGAUCGUUCCGUGCCGCAGACUAAGCGCAUUAAGUGCCCCCGGCCUGGAUGCCCCC
rnacentral:rRNA from 1 species